UACGUAGGGGGCUAGCGUUGUCCGGAAUCAUUGGGCGUAAAGCGCGCGUAGGCGGCCCGGUAAGUCCGCUGUAAAAGUCCAGGGCUCAACCCUGGAACGCCGGUGGAUACUGUCGGGCUAGAGUCCGGAAGAAGCGAGUGGAAUUCCUGGUGUAGCGGUGGAAUGCGCAGAUAUCAGGAGGAACACCGUAUGGCGAAAGGCAGCUCUG
rnacentral:rRNA from 1 species